GGAAUGAAUUACACGCCCUCCAUGCAUCAAGAAGCACAGGAGGAGACAGUUAUGAAGCUCAAAGGUAUAGAUGCAAAUGAACCAACAGAAGGAAGUAUUCUUUUGAAAAGCAGUGAAAAAAAGCUACAAGAAACACCAACUGAAGCAAAUCACGUACAAAGACUGAGACAAAUGCUGGCUUGCCCUCCACAUGGUUUACUGGACAGGGUCAUAACAAAUGGCAUGCUGCUUGCAGGGUUUCUCAUCAGAAAUAUCCCAGUCAUCAACGAUAAUGUGCAGAUCAAGCACAAGUGGUCUUCCUCUUUGAGAAGCAUAGCCCUGUCUAUCAUUCUGGUUCGUGCUGGCCUUGGUCUGGAUUCAAAGGCCCUGAAGAAGUUAAAGGGCGUUUGUGUAAGACUGUCCAUGGGUCCCUGUAUUGUGGAGGCGUGCACAUCUGCUCUUCUUGCCCAUUACCUGCUGGGUUUACCAUGGCAAUGGGGAUUUAUACUGGGGUAAUGAUUGUUUCUUUGUCAUAUGAAAAUAUGUAGGGACAUUUAGGGCUUUCCCUGAUUGCAUACAAGAGAAUGCAUAAUAGAAUUUUCUUAUAGAUAUCAGAAAAUGCAACAUAGAUGUUACAGCAUAAUUUAAAUAUUCUAACUUCAAAACAUAGUUUAUGUGUUAAUAGGCGCUAACUCUUACAGUUAGCACCUACUAUUCAAACUGUUGAAGAAGUCGUGGUCUUUUGCCUACACCUGAUUCAAUGCCUGUUAAAGAGAUACCGGAUUCCACCUAACGUCUGCACAAAGGAUAAUAA
rnacentral:lncRNA from 1 species